GAUCAAAUUAUUUAUUUCAAUAAUAUAUUUAUGUCAACAAAAUAAUAUAAGAAAGAAAAGUUAUCCUUUUAAAAAUCCUGUUUUUUCUUCACCAUCAAACUCUCAAAACUCUAGUUUGCUACUCAAAUCUUGUUCGCAACAUCUUUUCCUUCAACUCUAUGUCGUGGCUAACACUCUUCCACCAGACUCUAUACUAUAAACUUUCCGACUUGAAGAACACAAUUCACACUGAACUGCUACAUGCUCAAUAGUCAUAUAGAUGGCACCACUCCAGUGCCUUUUAACUAGUUAGAAUUUUCCAACUAGUUCCAGUGAGAUCAACUCCUCCUCAGUUGGUUAGACGAUUCCUAUGAUGUUUGGCACGCUCUUUCUUCAAGCUUUCGGCUCAGGCUUCAGUGCUCGGCAAGUGCAGUUACAUCUGACAUUGCAAGAGCUCACCUUGGCAGACAAAAUCACGUCUCAAGUCCAGAAGGAAGAAAAAUUGAUUGCUGAUGAAUUAGCUGCAGCAGGUAUGCCUCUUGGUAAGGCUGAAUUUAGUGCCAAUAGUUUUUGAUUGCUUCCUCUAGAGUAUCAUCCUAUCAUCACUGCUGUUUCUACUCGAAGGGAUCAUGUCUCUUUUCAUGAGCUAUCGGGGCAGUAAGUUGCAUAUGAAAUAUUUCUCAAGAGCUCUAAAACCUCUAUCAAUUCUGGUGGUAAUGUUGCAAGACAAGAGCCAUCCAUCAAUUCUGUUCACACCACAAAUCAGAGGAACAUGAAAUUUUCCCAACAGUAGUAGUCCACCAUUAAAGGCAAUCGCUAGUUCUUUAAGUCAUCUCGUCAAAUCUCAGUGGCUUACGCAAUCACGCUACAAAGUGGUGCAGAAAGCCUCAUGACAAGCACGAUGACACCCCUGGGGAAAAUAUGGCAGUUUCUAGCAACACUUCUGACUGGUUCCCAAACACUGCUGCUACUCAUCACAAAACUCCUGACUUAGCAAGUCUGUAGAUUUCUGAAGAGUACAAAGAACGAGAGAACCCACAAAACCUUACGAAAAGGACCAGCUGAAGAUGGAAUCUAUCGAAUUCCUUGGAUCGCACUACCGUCACUUCAACAAGGAGCAAAAACCAUCAUCAGAGUGAGAAUCAGCUUGGAGGAUUGGCAGGCGGGUUUGGGAAGUCUGCAAUUUCCAUCAGUCUUAUCUGUUAUCAAGAAUUUCCAGUUGCCUUGUUCUAAUUCCCUAAAAGUAUCUAAGCAAAAAUGUACUUUAUAUUGCUUAGGGAAGUUUAGUAGGAUUACUCUACCUGGUACAGGAUCACUUACAAAUGAACCAUUAUCCUUAGUUCAUGUUGAUUUCUAGGGUCCUCCACCCUUUUUAUCAUUCAUCGGAGAACGUUAUAAUUUCUUGGCUCUUUUUUUUUUAUGAAUGCACCAAUUUUUCUUGGCAA